rnacentral:rRNA from 1 species
UACGAAGGGGGGCUAGCGUUGCUCGGAAUCACUGGGCGUAAAGGGUGCGUAGGCGGGUCUUUAAGUCAGGGGUGAAAGCCCGGAGCUCAACUCCGGAACUGCCAUUGAAACUGUUGGACUUGAGUACGAGAGAGGUGAGUGGAAUUCCCAGUGUAGAGGUGAAAUUCGUAGAUAUUGGGAAGAACACCGGUGGCGAAGGCGGCUCACUGGCUCGUAACUGACGCUCAGGCGCGACAGCGUGGGGAUCAAACAGG